CCUACGGGAGGCAGCAGUGGGGAAUAUUGCACAAUAGGGGAAACCCUGAUGCAGCGACGCCGCGUGAGUGAAGAAGUAUUUCGGUACGUAAAGCUCUAUCAGCAGGGAAGAAAAUGACGGUACCUGACUAAGAAGCCCCGGCUAACUACGUGCCAGCAGCCGCGGUAAUACGUAGGGGGCAAGCGUUAUCCGGAUUUACUGGGUGUAAAGGGAGCGUAGACGGCAGCGCAAGUCUGGAGUGAAAUCCCAUGGCUUAACCAUGGAACUGCUUUGGAAACUGUGCAGCUAGAGUGCAGGAGAGGUAAGCGGAAUUCCUAGUGUAGCGGUGAAAUGCGUAGAUAUUAGGAGGAACACCAGUGGCGAAGGCGGCUUACUGGACUGUAACUGACGUUGAGGCUCGAAAGCGUGGGGAGCAAACAGGAUUAGAUACCCGAGUAGUC
rnacentral:rRNA from 1 species